UCCCAGCAAACAUGCACAUAUGGGUCCCAUAUGGGAUGUUUCUGGGCAAACCCAUAUGGGUAAGCCCAUAUGGGAGUCAUUUGGGACCAAUAUGGGCUAGCCCAUAUGGGAAUGCCCACAAGGGUCCCAUAUAGGUCCCAUAUUAUUGCGCUAUCGGGCAAAUAUGUAAACUUGUAUUUAUUUGAUUAAAAACUCAUUUCUUAAAACGUAUGUAGAACUUACUUGAUCUAAACUGCUAAUAUUUUACCCAAAAAUAGAAAAUCGAUGCAUAAGCAAAUAAUAUGCGGCCCAUAUGGGUCCCAUACGGGUCCCAUAUGGGAGUUAUUUGGGAGCUAUAUGGGCUUGCCCAUGUGGGAAUGCCGAUAAGGGUCCCAUAUAGGUCCCAUAUUAUUGCGCUAUCACGAAAAAGAUGUAAACUAGUAUUUAUUUGAUUAAAAACUCAUUUCUUAAAACGUAUGCUGGACUAACUUGAUCUAAACUGCUAAUAUUUUACCCAAAAAUAGAAAAUCAAUGCAUAAGCAAGUAAUAUGCAGUCCAUAUAGGUCCCAUAUGGGUCCCAUUUGGGCCGCCCAACAAAGCACAAAAUCAGCUACCGGGCUGUUUCUGGGCAAACUCAUAUGGGUAAGCCCAAAUGGGAGUCAUUUGGGACCUAUAUGGGUUAGCCCAUAUGGGAAUGCCCUUAAGGGUCCCAUAUAGGUCCCAUAUUAUUGCGCUAUCAGGAUAAAGAUAUAAACUUUUAUUUAUUUGAUUAAAAACUCAUUUCUUAAAACGUAUGUAUGACAAACUUGAUCUCAACUGCUAAUAUUUUACCCCAAAAUAUAAAAUCAAUGCAUAAGCAAAUAAUAUGCAGUCCAUAUGGGUCCCAUACGGGUCCCAUUUGGGCCGCCCAACAAAGUACAAAAUCAGCUAUCGGGCGCACAUUUUUUGAAAAUUCUGUUUUUGAUAUUGCUUUGUUUUAAAUAAUGUAUAUACUAUGAUUAAUAUGUAGUUAUUUUCAAGAGAUAAUUUUAAUUUAAAUAAUCGCGCAGAAAAAUAAAGUAUUUAAAUAAUAUGCGCAUGCGCAGAUGUUAAUUCCGCCUCGCCUCGCAUUCAAAACAAAAACACUCGAAACGGUAAUUUGUUAAAUUGUGAUAUUAAACACGUAAUUAUAUAUUUCUUUUGAAAUCAGAUAUAUAUGGCUGAUCACGCAUUAUUUAUUUAUCUGUAACUCCAAUGAAUGCUUGUGUGUUUAAUAAUUUGAAUUGCAAAUUAUUAGAUUUCUUUAUUCGCUUUGCCUUUGCCAUGUAUUUUCGCGACGUAAGUCGUUACGUUCGAUUGUCGCCAUAGAUCAAUCUCUUAGUUAAACUGCUUAAUUCAACUUGAUUCUGCCCAAAAUUCAAUACAAACUAUUUAUAGCAGACAGGCGCAUGUCUGAAAAAAUGGAACACUUAAUUAGUAAUCAUGCUAAUGCAUGAGAAUCUUACUUAUCUCAUACAUUGAUAAUAUUAAUUUAAACGUAUUGCAUCAAAGACGUAUAAUAUAAUGUUUUUUUAUAGGUCUUUGAUUACUUGCAAGCAAGCCAAGGUUGUCUGCCUGUGGACAAAUUUUUAGGAUUAUUUAAACACAUAUUUGCAGAAUGUUAAAAAAGUCUGUGUAUUAAGAAAUAAUUAAAUUCGUAAUGUUUAUUGUACAAAUUUAUUUCAGAAAAUAAAAUAUUCACCACCGCCUCGUUUGCCAACAUCGUCUUUACAAGGAAUGUCCAGCAGUGCAUGACAGAGGCCGGUCACUCCCAUUAGGUCCAGGCAGCUGAAGAGCCUUCCCAAAGACAGUUCAUAGGACAAAAUGCAGUUACACAGAUUUUAACGGUGUUGGAAACAAUGAGAGACAAGAACAGGGAAAUGAAGCGGAUGCUGCAGCAGCUCUUGGCUAGGUCAGCUACUGAUGACGAGCCAAUGCAACUGCCAGAGAACAUCAUUCUUCCAAUUGGAACAUUUGAGCAAAUGGAUGAGUUUGAAUAGCAUCUUGGUGAUGAAGCUACGAUCCAUCUUUUCUAGGACUGCUGCAUAGUUCAAGCUUUUUUAUCAAAUAUAUUAAGCAAUGUUGUAAAUGUAAUUGACAGUUUUUUCUCCAUUAAUCCUAAACCAUUCCUUUAAGGCUCAUCUUCUAAGAAAGCAAACAAUCUUUUUUAUCUGGAAAUGAAACAGUAUAUAUUCCUUUGCAAAAGAAGAAACAGCAUUCCAGUUUUUGAAGGUUUUAAAAGACAUAUAUAUAUAUAUAUAUCAUGUGCAAUUACGAAAAACACUAGAAUGUAUGAAGAUAUCAAAGAUAAUAAUAUGGACUUGUUCUCGAAAAAGGAUUUGCCAUUUAUUUCAGUUUUGGAUUUUUUUGCAGGGUUUUUAAUUUGUAGUUUAUAAAAUAUUUUGUUUAGUCUUGCAAGUAUGUUUUCCACGAAUGUUCUUUGAGUACAUGGUGUGUUAUUUGUAUUGGUUAAAGAUUUAAUAUGCAUGGGUAUGUUUUGUAGUAAUGUGUAGUAAAUCAGGAAAAUACUUGAAGGUAUUCUGUAUAUGUAAAAAUAAUAGAAGUCCUUAAUUCUAUAGUCGUAUAACUGGUCGACAUAUAUAAUGUUAUAGAAAAACGUCUUAUUGUUUGAAGUUAUGUCUUUAUUGUUCCAUAAAAUACUGUUGGUUUGGGUUUAUAUAUUAUGAGUAACAUUACUCCAUGCAGAUAGAACAUUAGAUAGAAACAUGUUUUCGUUAGCUACUUUAUGUAAAAUACUUUUGCUGAUGUUACAUUCAAAAAGUUAGGAAUCACCAUAUUAUUUUAGAAUUUUCUGGUAGAAUAGUUAACGUGGGAUCCUCCUGCUAUGUAUGUAUGAAUCCAUGUAUAUGUGUGUAAUACUUUAUGUGAAUAAAAGUUGAGAGUACUUUAAUAAA